UUCUGUCAUACGCUCUCCUCUCUACUCUCAUCCUCUCCACCGGCACUUCCACACCACCACCACCACCACCACCACCAUUUCCACCAUCAUUUUCUGGCAAGGUCACCGGAAAAUUCUUGGGAACCCAUAAACACCUUCACAUCCUUUUUUUGAGGUUCUAACUAAUCUCCUUAGAGCUUAGAGAAUUAGGAUUUUGCGGUUGCGAGAGGGUAUGUGAAAGGGGUGGUUACAUACAUGAUAAUGGAUGAUCCGGAGGUGAAACCCAUGUCUACCAUUUCUAGUAUCACAUUGCUUAACAAGUUUAAUGUCAAACAAUUAGGGGAUCUUGAGGAGAAAGUUGUCGAACUGGGCAUGGAAGAGGGUGUGAAAUUGCUCAAGGCUUCUCUGCAGUCGAAGAGUGUCUUGACUGAUGUCUUCCUCCCGAAGUUGGAACGAGAAGUCAACGUAGAGAGUUAAUUUCAAGGUGCAAGAGUUGUGUAGGAUUGCCAUAACGUUGUCAUUUUAAAUGUCAGUUAAAUCUGGUGUUGCUUUCUUGACCCUCUAGGUCUU